rnacentral:misc_RNA from 1 species
AAGUCGUAACAAGGUUUCCGUAGGUGAACCUGCGGAAGGAUCAUUAACACGUAUCCAACGUUAAACUACCCUGUGAACUUUCAACCCCGCCGGAAUGAGAUUAAUUUCCAACUCCGGCGAAGACAAGUGACCUGGCACCUGACCUCAUCAAAGCUCUGACAGCGUGCCUCUGGAUGCUUAAUGGGAACUGUCGUCAUGUUAAGUGGUUUUAAGGGGCAUUAAAGAAUGCCGCUGACCCGGUCGCCGGCCGUGUGGGCCUCCAGCGAUCGUUACUGCGUCACCCUUCCAAAAGAGGAACUUGAGUUGAGCUAUAACAAAAAACUAAUACAACUGUUAACAAUGGAUAUCUUGGUUCUC